UACGGGAGGCAGCAGUGGGGAAUAUUGCACAAUGGGCGCAAGCCUGAUGCAGCCAUGCCGCGUGUAUGAAGAAGGCCUUCGGGUUGUAAAGUACUUUCAGUCGUGAGGAAGGUAUUAAGGUUAAUAACCUUAGCAAUUGACGUUAGCGACAGAAGAAGCACCGGCUAACUCCGUGCCAGCAGCCGCGGUAAUACGGAGGGUGCGAGCGUUAAUCGGAAUUACUGGGCGUAAAGGGCACGCAGGCGGUUAAUUAAGUUGGAUGUGAAAUCCCCGGGCUUAACCUGGGAAUGGCAUUCAAGACUGGUUAGCUAGAGUCUUGUAGAGGGGGUAGAAUUCCAUGUGUAGCGGUGAAAUGCGUAGAGAUGUGGAGGAAUACCGGUGGCGAAGGCGGCCCCUGGACAAAGACUGACGCUCAUGUGCGAAAGCGUGGGGAGCAAACAGGGAUUAGAUACC
rnacentral:rRNA from 1 species